CCUACGGGGGGCAGCAGUGAGGAAUAUUGCACAAUGGGGGAAACCCUGAUGCAGCGACGCCGCGUGAGUGAAGAAGUAUUUCGGUACGUAAAGCUCUAUCAGCAGGGAAGAAAAUGACGGUACCUGACUAAGAAGCCCCGGCUAACUACGUGCCAGCAGCCGCGGUAAUACGUAGGGGGCAAGCGUUAUCCGGAUUUACUGGGUGUAAAGGGAGCGUAGACGGCAGCGCAAGUCUGGAGUGAAAUCCCAUGGCUUAACCAUGGAACUGCUUUGGAAACUGUGCAGCUAGAGUGCAGGAGAGGUAAGCGGAAUUCCUAGUGUAGCGGUGAAAUGCGUAGAUAUUAGGAGGAACACCAGUGGCGAAGGCGGCUUACUGGACUGUAACUGACGUUGAGGCUCGAAAGCGUGGGGAGCAAACAGGAUUAGAUACCCUAGUAGUC
rnacentral:rRNA from 1 species